rnacentral:rRNA from 1 species
AACAGGAUUAGAUACCCUGGUAGUCCAUGCCGUAAACGGUGGGUACUAGGUGUGGGGCUCCUUCCACGGACUCCGUGCCGUAGCUAACGCAUUAAGUACCCCGCCUGGGGAGUACGGCCGCAAGGCUAAAACUCAAAGAAAUUGACGGGGGCCCGCACAAGCGGCGGAGCAUGUGGAUUAAUUCGAUGCAACGCGAAGAACCUUACCUGGGUUUGACAUACACCGGAAACCUGCAGAGAUGUAGGCCCCCUUGUGGUCGGUGUACAGGUGGUGCAUGGCUGUCGUCAGCUCGUGUCGUGAGAUGUUGGGUUAAGUCCCGCAACGAGCGCAACCCUUAUCUUAUGUUGCCAGCGCGUCAUGGCGGGGACUCGUGAGAGACUGCCGGCGUCAAGCCGGAGGAAGGUGGGGACAACGUCAAGUCCUCAUGGCCCUUAUGUCCAGGGCUACACACGUGCUACAAUGGUCGGUACAGAACGCUGCAAACCCGCGAGGGGGAGCCAAUCGGCAAAAGCCGACCUCAGUACGGAUUGCACUCUGCAACUCGAGUGCAUGAAGUCGGAAUCGCUAGUAAUCGCUGAUCAGCAGGCAGCGGUGAAUACGUUCCCGGGCCUUGUACACACCGCCCGUCACACCAUGGGAGUUGAUUGCUCCAGAAGUGGCUGAGCUAACCCGUAAGGGAGGCAGGUCCCCAAGGAGUGGUUGAUAACUGGGGUGAAGUCGUAACAAGGUAACC